UACAGAGGGGGCGAGCGUUGUUCGGAAUUACUGGGCGUAAAGGGCGCGUAGGCGGCCAACUAAGUCAGACGUGAAAUCCCUCGGCUCAACCGGGGAACUGCGUCUGAUACUGGAUGGCUUGAAUCCGGGAGAGGGAUGCAGAAUUCCAGGUGUAGCGGUGAAAUGCGUAGAUAUCUGGAGGAAUACCGGUGGCGAAGGCGGCAUCCUGGACCGGCAUUGACGCUGAGGAGCGAAAGCUAGGGGAGCAAACGGGG
rnacentral:rRNA from 1 species